CUUGGUCAUUUAGAGGAAGUAAAAGUCGUAACAAGGUUUCCGUAGGUGAACCUGCGGAAGGAUCAUUAGUGAUAAAACUAUUAUCUUAACACCUGUGAACUGUGAACCGAAAGGUUCUUCCAAACAUUGUGUAAUGAACGUAAUACAUUAUAAACAAUACAACUUUCAACAACGGAUCUCUUGGCUCUCGCAUCGAUGAAGAACGCAGCGAAAUGCGAUAAGUAGUGUGAAUUGCAGAAUUCAGUGAAUCAUCGAAUCUUUGAACGCACAUUGCGCCCCCUGGUAUUCCGGGGGGCAUGCCUGUUCGAGCGUCAUUUCACCACUCAAGCCUCGCUUGGUAUUGGGCGACGCGGUCCGCCGCGCGCCUCAAAUCGACCGGCUGGGUCUUCCGUCCCCUCAGCGUUGUGGAAACUAUUCGCUAAAGGGUGCCGCGGGAGGUCACGCCGCAAAACAACCCCAUUUCUAAGGUUGACCUCGGAUCAGGUAGGGAUACCCGCUGAACUUAAGCAUAUCAAUAAGCGGAGGA
rnacentral:rRNA from 1 species